rnacentral:lncRNA from 11 species
ACCACAUUCGCCCUCCUCCAAUCUGCUGGGACUUCUCCCGUUCUCCAAGAACUCUCGAAGAUAAUUGCCAGUGGUUCUGAAAUAACUUCCGCUAGUUCCUUCAGUACUCUUGGGUGUAGCUGAUCUGGCCCUGGGGACUUGAAUUCGUUUAGAGAGGCCAAGUGUUCCUGGACAACUUGUUUCCCUAUUUGGGGUUGGAUUUCCCCCAAUCCUUCGUCCAACUGUGCCUUGAAUGCGGACAGCGUAUUCUGCUGUCGUAUCUCUUCCUGCUGGUCGGCCCACAGUCCUCUUCUCCAGGCGGCCGAUGGAAAGUUCCCUUGGGUGACUGUUCCCAAACAGAGAUGCUUGCAGGGGUUCUGAUUCUCAAGCCAGGCCAAUCAACAGCAGUGUCCCCUCUUGCCUCCCUCCCUCCUUCCUCCCUCUCUCCCUUUUUCCAGGGCCCAGACCGGACGCAGCCACGCAGGAGCCUCUUCAAGGCAGAGCGAGAGCCGAGGACCAGGCGCUUCUGGCUGAGAAGCAGCAUCGGGAGCAGCUGGCGGAGCAGCUGAGGGCCGAGAAGAGGAGCAAGAGGAAGGAACACGAACUGGUCUUGCGGAGGAUAGCCGAUGACCGGCGGCAUGUCCAGGUGAAGGCGCAGCUGAGCCAAGCAGCCCCCUCCGCCCCCGGAUCGCUGUCGGAGAAUGGAGCGCAGCAGCAGGAGCAGCCCCCGGGCCCCUUCCUCCGGGGAUGGGCAGUGCCUCCUAAUGGUGAGAUCCCCCCCCCAUUUCAGAAAUAGGUGCCUCCUUGAGUUGGGGUCUGCCUGGCUGGGGUGAGGCCCCCUCGUUCCCUCCUCAGGCCCCCCUCCUCUCCCUCCCAGGUACGCCUCCCUUCGAGUCCUGCGUCCGCCACCGCCUCCCGGCCGACUGCCCCCUGGAGACCCUCCUGCGGCGCCUCUGCGGGAGCACCCGGGCCUCUCCCCCUCGGCCUCCCUCCUCCAGACCUUCCCCAAGCGGCACUUUGGCCCCGCCGACCUCCCCUCCUCCCUCCAGGCCUUGGGCCUGACCCCCAGCGCCACCCUCUGCCUCCUGGAGCCCCCCUCCCCCGGAAGCCCCCCUACGGACCCCCGGGCGCCCCCGCAGGAGGGGGAGGGAGGGGCGCUCUGCCCAGCGGGGAGGACGGCCCUGGUCCUUCGUGGCCCCUCCGUGCUCCUGCCACCACCACCACCACCACAAGAGGAAAUCCCAGAAGCCCCGGACGUGUCUGCUGCUGCUGACCACCAUCGCUGGGGCCGAGGCCAGAAGCUGGACGCCUCAGAGGAGCCCAUGGAUCAGGGCCCUUUGGAGCGCAACGCCGAGGAGGAGGAGGAGGAGGAGGAGCCGGAGGCGGCGGAGCAGGAGCAGGACCUGCUGCCAGGUCUCCCACCAGCGCUGGAACUUGGCCAAAGGGGAGCAGCAGGCUCUGGCCACCACUGGCCCACAGCAGGCAACCGGCUGAGGUAGGAACAUUUUACGAAUACUUUUUAAACAAAGGUUCUUUUUAUUGCAAUUUCAGUGUGUGUGUGGGGGGGGGGGGUAUAUCAGAACUUUUACAGAACAACACUUAGACAUACAGAGAUACAGAUUCUAUGCAACUUCAUUGGAAUCACAACCGACAGUUACAUUUUUUACUCAGCAUUCACAUCCAAGCAUUCAUCUUCAUGCAUGCAUCACCAUUUCUCCAUUCUUCUGCCGUGAAGAACACCUGUUAGGCCAGACUGCUUCCUUGACAAUCUGCCAACACACAAAACUUCUAAAACACCAAAAUGCAUCCUUUCCCUAAGAACAAUGCCAAGGAUCAGAGUCCUGCUUUCUCUACAGAAGAAAUGACACCCUGCAAAUACAUAUCAUGACUCCAAAGCGCACUCCUUCCUCUUCCCUUGAGAAAAGGAGGCCAAGUGCUCAGAAUUCUGCGUUCCAUUGCAGAUCUGACUCUCCCAAGGAGCACCAUCUCUCUCUUCCCAAGGAGCAGAGAGGCAGGUGAACAGCGCUGCUGUCUUUCAUGCUUUUUGGAUUGUAAUAAGGUCUCUCAUAUAGCAAUAUUUUGCUGAUGUUGUCCCAAAGUUGUAACUGAAUGACAGAUGUUUUCCGUCCUGAAACAUCCUGGCUCCAUCUCAGUUUCCUGACAGAUGUUGACUCUUAAUUGGUGUUGACUACGCAAGUAGCUUUGUGUUGAUUUCCACCUUAAUGUAAAUAACUUUGUAAACAUUUCGUUAACUUGAAAGAGCCAUUGUCUCUGAUUAAUUUAAACAAGUUGUUUCCCCCCAAAGGUUCAUCAUGUCAACAAAUGUUGACAGAUGUAAACAGAUGUAAAUAUUUCUCUUAUCACUGUCACAGUUCUUAUCAAUGUCAGCAGUUCAGCAACUUUUAAUUUAACUUGUAAGCCGCCCCGAGCCCUAGGGGAGUGGUGGCAUAUAAGUUUGAACAAUAAAUAAAUAAAUAAAUAAAUUACCGUUGCUUUCCAGGCCUCAAUAUUUUAGAAUGCAGUCUCCAAAAUUAUUAGCUCU